AUGAGAAGACGACGGGCCCUUGGAGGCCGGCACCUGCGGCAGAUGAGAAGCUCUGCAGGCUGGACCGGGGACAUAGUCUCUGCAGGCUGGGCCGGGGACAGAGUUCCUUGGACGGGCUGGACCGGAGCGACCUCUAGAGUGGAGAGAGCGUCGACCUCUAGAGUGGAGCGAGCGUCGACCUCUAGAGUGGAACGAGCGUCGACCUCUAGAGUGGAUAAGGCGACUUCAGACGAGGCGACUUCAUACGAAGCGACUUCAGACGAGGCGACUUCAGAGGUGACUUCAAAGACGACUUCAGAGGAGACGACUUCAGACGAGACGUCGACCUCAGAGGAGACGUCGACUUCAGACGAGACGUCGACUUCAGACGAGACGUCGACUUCAGAGGAGACGUCGACUUCAGACAAGACGUCGACUGCAGAGGAGACGACUUCAGACGAGACGUCGACUGCAGAGGAGACGACUUCAGACGAGACGUCGACUUCAGAGGAGACGUCGACUUCAGACGAGACGUCGACUUCAGACGAGACGACUUCAGAGGAGACGUUGACCUCAGACACGUCGACUUCAGAGGAGACGUCGACUUCAGAACAGGGUGAGGCGUUGACCCUUGGCUUGGAGGCGUCGACCCUUGGACUGGAGGCGUCAACCCCUGGACUGGAGGUGUCGACCCUUGGACUGGAGGCGUCAACCCUUGGACUGGAGAAGUCAACCCUUGGACUGGAGGCGUCGACCCCUGGCUUGGAGGCGUCGACCCUUGGCUUGGAGGCGUCGACCCUUGGCUUGGAGGCAUCAACCCUUGGCUUGGAGGCAUCGACCCUUGGCUUGGAGGCGUCAACCCUUGGACUGGAGGCGUCGACCCUUGGACUGGAGGCGUCGACCCUUGGACUGGAGGCGUCGACCCUUGGACUGGAGGCGUCGACUCUUGGACUGGAGGUGUUGACCCUUGGCUUGGAGGCGUCGACCCUUGGCUUGGAGGCGUCGACCCUUGGCUUGGAGGCGUCAACCCUUGGCUUGGAGGUGUCGACCCUUGGCUUGGAGGCGUCGACCCUUGGCUUGGAGGCGUCGGCCCUUGGACUGGAGGUGUCGACCCUUUGA
rnacentral:lncRNA from 1 species